rnacentral:lncRNA from 1 species
UUUUUUUUUGUAUUUUCCUCCAAAGGAGUGCUUUAUUGACAAGUUGCCUGCUAAUAUUUGUUAGGGAUACAUCAGUGACCUGCACUCCUGUAAUGUGUUCCCUCACACAGCUAUUAGUUUUUAACCCUGGAAAAGGAGACACCAAUAACAUGUUCUUCCUCAGCUCCCCAAUUACUUGCUGUUCCUUGCUUUGCGUGGUACAGUAUUCUAAGGGUGUCCAAAGAAGCCAGGGUAUGUCACACUGUAUCAGACCAGAAACUAAAAGGGACAAAUCCCACCUCACCCUAGGAGUGCAGAGAUAUGCACAACACAGAUAAAGUCUUUGCCCUGCUCAGAGCCAUUAAGGCACAGUGCUGCCCCUCUCUCCAAAUCGUGACUCUCAACACACAGGGCCCUGGUGUUGAGAGGCUGCAGAAUGUGGCAAUUGGAGGCAGGAGGAAGGAACUUAGAAAUCGUUGAAACUCCUGAGAAAAGAUGACAGCAGAGUUCUGGCUGAACCAAAACCACAUCCCUUACCUGACCUGCAAGGUUGGUUCUGCUUUUCAUUUAUUCUCCAUGUAGUGAACAGACAGGCAGAAACUAUGG